rnacentral:rRNA from 1 species
CAGUCGUACCGGCGGGUAAUCAGCCUUUCGGGUAUGAUUCUGUGGAGUGUGGGGAGCUAAACACCCUCAUGCCUGCAUAUUCGUGCUCUUGGGUGUACUUGCUCGUGUGGUUGGUUAACAUCAAUUUCGGAUGCCAUAAAAUGACUGGAGGAAUGUGGCAGCUUGCUGUGUUAUAGCCUCUUGUCGUACACGGUGCCUGGGAUUGAGGACUGCAGCACGCCUUUGGUAGGGUUCGCCCACUCCACGUGCUUAGGAUGCUGGCGUAAUGGCUUUAAACGCCCGUCUUAGAAACACGGACCAAGGA